CGAUAGACGGUGCGGAUUUGUUUAUUCGUCCAUCAAGUCGUGUAUGUAUAAAACGUUUUGAAAUUAAUUUCCAGACAAAUAACGGGUUAAUGGCAUAACGGUGUACGUAUGAUAGUAUAAUGUAAUAACAAUAUAAUAGUUAUUACGUUUCAGUGUAUAUUAAAUACUAUUUUGUUAGGCACUUAAUCAAUAACGAUUUUGAUUUAGGCAAUAAAAACAAAGCGCGACUGCGUACACCUAUUUCUCAGAGCGAAUAAAAUCUGAAGCGCUUUACAAUCGCCGGAUGAAAAUUUAGUGUCCAAUAAAAUAUAAUAUUAUUAUUGUACUUAUC